UCAAACUUGGUCAUUUAGAGGAAGUAAAAGUCGUAACAAGGUUUCCGUAGGUGAACCUGCGGAAGGAUCAUUAACGAGUUUUGAAGGCGGAGGUCUGUUGCUGGUGUGGAAACGCGCAUGUGCACGGCCCCUUGCUUGAUCCACUCUCAAACCCUGUGUGCACCUUUGCGAAGUGGAGUAGUCCUCGCCGUUUGGAGGGGGGGUCGAAAGCUUCGAUCUUUUUGUAUCAACUUUUGUAUGUCUUGUGGAUGUAGACACCCUUUGUGGGUGAGAUGAAUACAACUUUCAACAACGGAUCUCUUGGCUCUCGCAUCGAUGAAGAACGCAGC
rnacentral:misc_RNA from 1 species